UACGUAGGGUGCGAGCGUUAAUCGGAAUUACUGGGCGUAAAGCGUGCGUAGACGGUAGCGUAAGUCAGAUGUGAAAGCCCCGGGCUCAACCUGGGAACUGCAUUUGAGACUGCUCUGCUCGGGUGCGGAAGAGGGAAGCGGAAUUUCCGGUGUAGCGGUGAAAUGCGUAGAUAUCGGAAGGAACACCAGUGGCGAAAGCGGCUUCCUGGUCCGACACCGACGUUCAGGCACGAGAGCGUGGGGAGCAAACAGG
rnacentral:rRNA from 1 species